GUCGGUGAACCGAAUCAAU
rnacentral:miRNA from 1 species